CAGCACCUCAAGUGGUCAGGAGGAUUAUUGGGGCCUAAAGCAUCCGUAGCCGGCUGCACAAGUCUUCGGGGUUAAAUUCAUAUGCUCAACAUAUGGGCUGCCGGAGAUACUGUGCAGCUAGGGAGUGGGAGAGGUGGACGGUACUCGAUAGGAAGGGGUUAAAAUCCUUUGAUCUAUUGAUGACCACCUGUGGCGAAGGCGGUCCACUAGAACACGUCCGACGGUGAGGGAUGAAAGCUGGGGGAGCAAACCGGAUUAGAUACCCGGGUAGUCCCAGCUGUAAACUAUGCAAACUCAGUGAUGCAUUGGCUUGUGGCCAGUGCAGUGCCGCAGGGAAGCCGUUAAGUUUGCCGCCUGGGAAGUACGUACGCAAGUAUG
rnacentral:rRNA from 1 species